UCUCCGCGGCCCCGGCAUCCCGCGCACCCGCGGCGCAGUCUCCCGGGCUCCGCGCGUCAUCGCUCGUCCCACCUCCCGACCAGCCAAUCAGUCCUCUCCUCUGCACCAGGCCUGCCCUACCCGGGGAAACCUGUGGCCGGAGAUGCAGAAUCGAGCACGUCGUGUGCAAUAACCUGGCGAGAGGGCAAUUCCAAGUGCAGAAGAAACUGGAAGACGGCUGGGGGAAAGGGGGAGUCCAGACAUCAGUCAUUUAGCCGCAAUCCGCGAGCUGAAGUUAAUCCAUUGUGUUUAGCAGUCUGUCACUUACAAAAUGCUUUCCUACAAAUGUUCUCUCUCGGUCCUCAAAACAACCCGGUGAGGCGCAUGUUAUCUCCUUCUCACAGCGGAGGAAUGGACAGGGUGGCGAGACCAAGUAACUGCUCCAAGGUCCCAGGCUGGGCGGCGGAGCCCGGCUCGGUCAGACGCGGAUCCAGGCCGGACUCCACGUCUUCCUGCUCCGAAACUGAGGGCCAGUGGAGGCACAGGGUGUAAGCAGUGCUUCUCCAUCCGGAAUGUGCCGAUGCAUCCACCUGGGAAACUUGUUACAACACAGAUGCCCAUUCAGUUGAUCCAAGGCAGAUGAGGAAACGGGGACAAAUGCCAGAUUCCUGAUCAGAUUAAAGGCUGGACAGAGAUGCGUCCAUCAGAACCACAUGAACAGAAGUCAACAGAUGCAAUGUCUAUCCAUCAUGUAGGUUGCCCACAAAAUCAAGAUGGCCAGGAAGCAGCUGGUAUUUACACCUGGGGCUCUCCGCUUGCCGUCACUUGGGCAGAGGCAGAGAAAGAACGUUGCCCAGCAGCCCUUUGGGGAGUUCCCCCUCACACACACAUUCCAUGAUAAUCCGCUUCAGUUGUUAUGAUUUGGGCAAGUUGCCUCCAAGGAUGGGAGUGUGACCCAUGACUCCUCUGGAAAGGUGGCCAUGGAUUUAGGGGGGAGAUCUUUUUUCCGAGAUUACCUUUGUAAAUCUGGAUGUGGUCAGGGUGGGUGGAGGGUAAUCUUAGCCACCCACAGGAGAGAUCCUUCUAGACAAUGAAGCAACACUGAGGACGGCAGAGCCAAGCCCUUGUUCUUCAAAUUACGCAAGUAGGUCAAGUCCCUUUCUUCCUCUUAAGCCAGAGGUUGUCUGAAACUUUCAACUGGAGUAGGCAUAACACACCUGUGUGGAUUGAAGUGUGUCUCCCAGAAAGACAUGUCCAAGUCCCAACAUCUGGUACCUGUGUGUGACCUUAUUUGGAGUUAGGGUCUUUGCAGAUGUGAUCAGGCUAAGAUGAGGCCCCAUUAGAUUAGGCUGAGGACGAAGACACACACAGGAGGUGACACCGUGUAGUGAUGGAGGUAGAGAUUGGAGUGAUGCAUCUACAAGCCAUGGAAUGCCAGGAGCCACCAGAAGCUCGGAGAGAGGCGUGGAAAUUCCCUCAGAUUCUCUCAGAAACUCCAGAAGAAGCCAGCCCCGCUGACACCUGAAUUUUGACCUUCUAGUUUCCAGAACCCUGGGAGAAUAAAUUUCUGUUGUUUCGA